GUAUCAUGGCUCAGGAUGAACGCUAGCGGCAGGCCUAACACAUGCAAGUCGAGGGGCAUCGGGAUUGAAGCUUGCUUCAAUUGCCGGCGACCGGCGCACGGGUGCGUAACGCGUAUGUAACCUACCUAUAACAGGGGCAUAACACUGAGAAAUUGGUACUAAUUCCCCAUAAUAUUCGGAGAGGCAUCCCUCCGGGUUGAAACUCCGGUGGUUAUAGAUGGACAUGCGUUGUAUUAGCUAGUUGG
rnacentral:rRNA from 1 species